rnacentral:rRNA from 1 species
GAUGAACGCUGGCGGCGUGCCUAAUACAUGCAAGUCGAGCGAACAGACGAGGCGCUUGCUCCUCUGACGUUAGCGGCGGACGGGUGAGUAACAAGUGGAUAACCUACCUAUAAGACUGGGAUAACUUCGGGAAACCGGAGCUAAUACCGGAUAAUAUAUUGAACCGCAUGGUUCAAUAGUGAAAGACGGUUUUGCUGUCACUUAUAGAUGGAUCCGCGCCGCAUUAGCUAGUUGGUAAGGUAACGGCUUACCAAGGCAACGAUGCGUAGCCGACCUGAGAGGGUGGUCGGCCGCACUGGAACUGGGACACGGUCCAGACGCCUACGGGAGGCAGCAGUAGGGAAUCUGCCGCAAUGGGCGAAAGCCUGACGGAGCAACGCCGCGUGAGUGAUGGAGGUCUUCGGAUCGUAAAACUCUGUUAUGAGGGAAGAACAAAUGUGUGAGUAACUAUGCACGUCUUGACGGUACCUAAUCAGAAAGCCACGGCUAACUACGUG